GCAAUAGCUACUUGCAUCAUUGUAGAUAUGAUGCAAGAUCGACUAUGUCGAAUAAAAUUCUAGGUAGAAUUAUGAUAAUGACAUUGUCUGCCUAUGUGUCUUGACCAAAUUACGUGCCAGCAGUCGCGGUAAUACGUAGAAGACUAGUGUUAUUCAUGUGUAAUCGGUUUAAAGGGUACCUAGACGGUAAAUCAAGCCUAUAAAAAAUAUAAAGGAAGGGACUAAUUUACUAGAGUUACUUAUGAGGGGGUAUUAAAGUACUACUGGUGUAGAGAUGAAAUUCUGUCAUACCAGCAAAACGACGGCACAGGUAUAGGCGAAAGCAUCCCCUUAUGUGAUAACUGACGUUGAGGGACGAAGGCUUUGUGUAGCGACCAGGAUUAGAUACCCCAGUAGUCAAAGCAGAAAAUGAUGAAUGUCAUAGAUUAGAUAUAUAAGUUUAUUCUAUAAAUGAAAGUGUAAGCAUUCCACCUCAAGAGUAAUUUGGCAACAUUGGAACUGAAAUCAUUAGACCGUUUCUGAAACCAGUAGUGAAGUAUGUUGUUUAAUUUGAUGGCCCGCAAAAAACCUUACCACAAUUUGAAUAUUUAUAUCUUUUAUUGUUUUUCUUCUGAUUUUUCUUCUGAUUUUACUUCUGAUUUUACUUCAAAUGAAGUAAAAGAAAGAAGUAAAAGAAAGAAGAAAAAUAAAAAGAGGCAAUAAG
rnacentral:rRNA from 1 species